AACGAACGCUGGCGGCAGGCCUAACACAUGCAAGUCGAGCGAAGCCUUCGGGCUUAGCGGCGGACGGGUGAGUAACGCGUGGGAACGUGCCCUUUGGUACGGAAUAGCCCCGGGAAACUGGGAGUAAUACCGUAUGUGGUCGAGAGACGGAAGAUUUAUCGCCAAAGGAUCGGCCCGCGUUGGAUUAGGUAGUUGGUGGGGUAAUGUCCUACCAAGCCGACACUCCAUUGCUGGUUUGAGAGGAUGAUCAGCCACACUGGGACUGAGACACGGCCCAGACUCCUACGGGAGGCAGCAGUGGGGAAUCUUGGACAAGGGGGGAAACCCUGAUCUAGCCAUGCCGCGUGAUCGAUGAAGGCCUUAGGGUUGUAAAGAUCUUUCAGUGGGGAAGAUAAUGACUGUACCCACAGAAGAAGCCCCGGCUAACUCCGUGCCAGCCGCCGCCGUAAAAC
rnacentral:rRNA from 1 species